rnacentral:rRNA from 1 species
AUUGAACGCUGGCGGCAGGCCUAACACAUGCAAGUCGAACGAGUGGCGGACGGGUGAGUAAUGUCUGGGAAACUGCCUGAUGGACGGGGAUAACUACUGUAAACGUUAGCUACUACCGCAUACCCUCCUAUCUGCCCAGAUUGGAUUAGCUAGUUGGUGGGGUAACGGCUCACCAAGGCGACGAUCCCUAGCUGGUCUGAGAGGAUGACCAGCCACACUGGAACUGAGACACGGUCCAGACUCCUACGGGAGGCAGCAGUGGGGAAUAUUGGACAAUGGGCGCAAGCCUGAUGCAGCCACGCCGCGUGUAUGAAGAAGGCUUUCGGGUUGUAAAGUACUUUAAGCGGGGAGGCGUUACCCGCAGAAGAAGCACCGGCUAACUCCGUGCCAGCAGCCGCGGUAAUUC